rnacentral:rRNA from 1 species
UACGUAGGGUGCGAGCGUUAAUCGGAAUUACUGGGCGUAAAGCGUGCGCAGGCGGUUUUGUAAGCCAGAUGUGAAAUCCCCGGGCUUAACCUGGGAAUGGCAUUUGGGACUGCAAGGCUGGAGUGCGGCAGAGGAGACUGGAAUUGCCUGGUGUAGCAGUGAAAUGCGUAGAUAUCAGGAGGAAUACCGAUGGCGAAGGCAGGUCUCUGGGCUGACACUGACGCUCAUGCACGAAAGCGUGGGGAGCAAACAGG